rnacentral:tRNA from 1 species
CUCAGUCGGUUAGAGCGUUGGUCUCAUAUUACGAGCGUAUGAUUCUUCAGAAUACUGGGGAAAAGAUCCAAUCCAAAGGUCGUGAGUUCGAAUCUCACCGAGGACA